rnacentral:rRNA from 1 species
UACGCAGGACCCGAGCGUUAUCCGGAUUUAUUGGGUUUAAAGGGUGCGUAGGCGGAUUAAUAAGUCAGUGGUGAAAGCCCAUCGCUUAACGAUGGAAUUGCCAUUGAUACUGUUAGUCUUGAGUAUGGUUGAGGUGGGCGGAAUGUGUCAUGUAGCGGUGAAAUGCUUAGAUAUGACACAGAACACCAAUUGCGAAGGCAGCUCGCUAAACCAUAACUGACGCUGAGGCACGAAAGCGUGGGGAGCAAACAGG